ACAAGGACGCUUUUAAUCAUUACACUCUGUGCUGGGAGAGAAAUGAAUCCAAAUGAAGGGGGAGCCGGGAGGAAGAGAGAGGUAGAGAUUCCCACAGAGAAAGGGGGUUGGGGGCCCAGACAGUCAGAGACAGACAGACACAACUGGGGCAGUCUGAUGCACUGGUCUUUGCAGUUCAGAAGCGGAAGACAGAGAAGAAUGAAAGGGAGGAAGACACAAGAAAGAAGGCAAGAAAAGGAAAAGAGGAGAGACUGAGAAAAGGAACCGUACAGAGGAAGGGAAAGAGAAAGACACAGAGAAAGAGCGGGAAAGAAGACCAAGGCAGUCAGAGGAGCGAGCCCCCGGGGAACUCGCAGCCCCUCCGGCCCCCGCCCUCCUUCUGGCCUGGUAACCUGCAGGCUGCACCGGGGAGUGGGCACCGGGCAGCGGCGGAGCCCAGGCAGGAGAGCCGAAUGUCUUCGUGAUGUGUUUAUCCCCUAAUCAGUUCAUUAGUUAUAAACAACAUGACAUUAGAAGUUAGGAGGCAGUUGAUAUUAAUUUUUAUUUAACUAGUUGAUGUUUAAUCCGUCACGCCAGGCUGGGUAGCAGCGAGAAAGAUCUUCCUGACACAAAACCAGUUAGAACUUCAUAAGGCGCAAUCAGUGUCCGCGCGUUGAAACAAACAAGAGAGACAGAGACAGAGAGACAGGGAGAGACAGAGAGACAGAGGCAGCCCCGCCUGAGACGGAGCUGGCGAGUCGGGCGGGAGAGAGCUAACCCCGGGCGUGGGCUGUGGGGAAACGACCUGCGGAGACUGGGAACGCAGCGGGGACGGCCGGCGAGGGCCUGGCCGCCCUGAACCGGGGCUCCGCGCCCCAGCGCCGCUGGAUGCGGUAGUGGGGGGCCGGCCGGGCGCCCCGGGAAAGCCCGGCCCGAUGGCGGCGGGGCUGGCGGCCAGGGCCCUGCCGAGCCUCUCCGCGGCACCCAACAGCGCCUUCCGCGGUGGAACGCGUUGGGGGUCCGGCUGCCUGGAGGGUGGCAGGGGCUAACAAGCCGGCGAGGCCAGGCCACCACCCUCACAGCACGGCCAUCCCCCCCUGUCUGGAAGCCGGGAACCCCUCCCGGCCUGCACCAGGAAGAGCGGCCCGGGGCAAAAGAGGAAAGGAGGAAAAGGCGAGGAGUUUGUGCCCGGUGGCUCAAGUUUGACAAAGUUUGCGGCGAUCACGAGCCCGAGCAGGGUGUGUGUGCGUGUGUGUUGGGGUGCUCGGCAGUGGCGAAGGGGGAGGAAGUGAGGCACAGUGCUAGGGUUCUGGAGGAGGAAAAGUUUGCCAACGCCUCCAGGAGCGUCCCCGCAUUCCGGGGCUCCGAGUAGGGAGCAGGCUGUGUCGGUCGCGGGCUCCUCGGAGGUGCCCCGGGCUUGCCCAGGUAAAGCUGCCCUCUCAACCCCGCCCCCAAGCACGAGCGUUCGGCUUUUUCCACCUUCGCUCCGGGCACCGGCCGGGCGCCGGCUUGGUCACGGCUUCGUGCGUCGGCACGGGGCGGGGGGCGGGCUGUAGUUUUCCGCGGUCGCGAAGGACACCGUUUGGAGGGACAGAGGCAUCCUCGCCCGCGCGCAGACUCAAGCCGAGCAUCUCCCAUUUGCAUGUUAAUCUGCCUCCACCGCGGAAAGGAAAUCGCUGAAUUCCGAAGAAAAUUGCCUCUCGCCAACAGUUAAUAGUUAACUCAGACAGGAAAGUUCCCAGGGAAAGGCGAAAGCCAGGGCGAGAGCCGCAGGGGAGGAGGCCGGGGAGGCGGCCUGGGAGGGCCUGGUCCCGGCCCUGGCCUCUCCCCUCCGCCCUGCGCGCUCGGCCUGGCGCGCCUCCCCACCUCUGGCAGCGCGUCCCCCACCCCGUAAUUAGCAUCGUUUAGUUCACAAAACCCUUCCUGGGAGAAAUCUGUUCCCUCUUUCCGGGGCUCGGUUCAGCACCUGAUUCCGCCGGGUGAGGCGAAUAAAUCACUGCGGAGGCGGCGGUGGCGGCGGCGGCGGCGGCGGGGGAGCCGGACCCGAGCUCACCAGACUGGGGCCGCCGGAAGAACGAAAAAGUGAGAAAGAGGAGCGGAGUCAGGGGGAAAAAAAAGAAAAGAAAAAGAAAAAAAGAGGCAGAGAGAUGGCGCAACCCUAGCGUAGGGACACAGAAGGGUCCGGGAAGGGAGACCCAAAGAAAGUCAGGGACCCAGAGGCAGAGAAGGGGCCAAAAUAAACAAGGGAGAUACAGAGAAAGACGGACAGAGAGAGGCAGAAAUAAAGGCGAACGAAAAGAAUGGGGAAACGAGGGGAAAGAGAAGUUAAAGAAGAAAGGAGGGCGGGGGGGGGGAUUAAGAAGAUGGGGACAAAAGAAUAAAAUAAAAGAAACCCAAAAGAGCAAACGCUUUUAUCUACAAAAACUCCCCUGCGAGAGGCUCGGCAGUGAGAACGCGCCCCGCGGCGGCCAGGAAUUUCGCGCCAGGGCCGCAGACCCCAGAGGCCCCGGUGGGCAGCGCAGCCUUCGCACUCGGGGCUCUAGACUGGGUUGCGUGCAGAAUCGGACUCCAAGUUGAAGUUCCAGGGCUCUGGGCACGCAGGAGCAUCUGCUCCCGGAAGGCAUGGUGUUUGUGUGUGGGGACGUCACCCCAGAUCCGUGGCGGAGGAGGGGAUGGGGAGAUGAAAAGGCACAAGGCUCUCUUGGGCGCGCGUGGGGCGCCUAGGACUUCCUGCCCUGGUGCGAAAGGAGACGGGGACGCGGGGCGGGCUGGCUUCGGUCGCUUAGCUCAGACCCCUGGGCGUCCCCGCAGCUAGGACCCCCGGGGCCCGUUCUUGGGCAGAGCCUCGGAGAACUCGCCACCCCCGCCCCCUCUCGCAGAGCCCUCGCUCCCAGGCCCGCGCACCCUGCUCUGCUUGGAGAAAAAAAGUAACGUGGGGAGAACCGCGCCCCGGCGCCAGUGGAGGGCGCAUUUCCCGAACCGCCUCCCCGCGGCGACCCAGAGGCGCCGCGCAGAUUCCUCUCGCUCUAGGGGCCAGGCCCCGCACUGAUCCUCCCGGGGCAGAGAGUGGGGAGGGGGAGAGGAAAGAAGAGGAGGAAGAAGUGGGGAAGGGUGGGGAGAGAUGCAGAAGAGAAGCAGCGAGGGAUGAAAAGUGGAAAUGUGGACCGGAGGGAAAGGAAGGAGCAAGGAGGUUAGGGGGCGUCUCCCCUCCGGUCUGACGAGGUCACUGCACGGACAAAAGGCGCUCCCUCCCCGGUCUCACUCAUUGCGAGUGAGACCUGUGCUAUGGCUCCCCCGGGACGUCGGGCUAGAGACUGAGACCCCGACAGGGCCGCUGGUGGCCUCUGUGCCUGUGGGACCCAGGGUGAGGCGAGGAAGACUUCGCCCCUGGAGUGACUAGCGCCCGGAAAUUUUCCAACCCCUGGGAUUUCCGGGUAGAUGUGGUCCAGUCCAGUCCACUCCUCCUCCCCGCUCCUGCCCCUUUCUCCUGCCUUCUCUGGCAGGUCCGGUGCAGCUAUCGAGCUGGACUAGAGAGGAGUUGGAUGAAAAGACCUUCAGGAAGAAGAUUGACAGUUCAGUCCAUUCCUACUUUUGUAUGGAGACAGGACAAAACCUAGAUCAGAAUCCUUUGGGCUAGGGAAGUCGGGAGGCAGUGACCAAGCAAAACCAGCUCAGAGGGCAUCAGUCAGUUGGUCAGUCCACUUUGGUCUGCUCAGUGAUGGAUGCCAGGACUACAGAGGCCAUGGGAUGCCAUUGAAGGAUUUUAAGCAGGGAAGGAAAAAGAUCUGAUUUGGGAGGAAAGACCACUGUGCAGGUGUGGGCAAGAGGUAGACAGGGAGAGGCAGAGACUGGACAAACAGUCUUCUCAGCAAAAGAAGAUGGAAGGCCUCAAAACAAAAUAGUCUGAGGGAGACAGAGAAGAGAGGUGAGAAAUGGAAGCAGAGUGGUGAGUACUUGGGCACAGAUUGUGUGUAUGUGUGUGUGUGUGUGUGUGUGUUGUGGGGUGAGAUGAUAAAUUAAGAUCUGCCUAAGUCUCUGUCUGGAUAACUUCAGUCUCAACUCUGACCCCUCCCCUCACUCACCAUCCCCUUCCUCUCAUAAAGCCUCCCCCCACCCCGCCCCCCCGUAAUUGUUACAGAAGCCAAAAUCCAGGCAUCUUGUCUGGAGGCAACACUUGUCUCCUCAUCUCAUGACCUUACCAGGCAGCCUCAUAGAACAAGGUGCCCUAAAGAAGAAGGUAACUUCUCACUAACCCAAGACAGAGAGGGUGGCAUCCAAGAGUGAAAAAUGGGGCCAGGCAGUCCUGAGGUAGAUCUCCUCUUUCUCAGUUCUAAAACAGGCCAGUUAUGUGACCUUGAACUCAUUGGGCCUAUGUGUCCACAUCUGUAAAAGGGGAGUGAGUGUAUUUGCCUUGUGGAAUUGUUGGGUGGUAUUAAAUAAGGGGUGUAUAUUAAGCCCUAACAAUAAUGUCUGACCACAUUAGGUCAUUCCCCAUGCCCAUCCCAGACCUGGACCUCUGUAGGCACUGACUGUGCAUUUUCUCCUGCGCAGGCACGAAGUGUCAGGGGGUACAAAGAGCAGUGAGAUAGAGACACUCUGGAGAAGAUGUCAAUCCAGAGGGAAGGCCAGGUGCCCCACUAGAGCAAAGUUAAUAAUGACAGUAAAAACAACUAACAUGCCUGAAGGCUUAUGGUAUGUCAGGCAUCAUUUUAAAUGCUUUACACAUAUUAAUUCCAUUCAUCCACAUCCAUUAUUAUGAACCCCACUUUAACGAUGUGGAAACGGAGGCACAGGGCAUUUUAGUAAUGUCUCCACAAUCACAGAGCGAGGAGGUAGCAAAAGUAGGAUCUGUACCCAGAUGUUGCUUCCAUGACCUGCGUUCUUAAGCAUGUGCUGUAGUAGAUAUUCUUACUGCUCAGAGAGAAGUCAGGGGGAGGAGGGACACUGGCUGUGGCUCAGGGGUUGAAUGGGUCUGAGAGGAUUUCUUCAGGGCAUCCAUUUGAUGGGACUCAAGAGUCCUUCUUCCCUCUUUCUUGCAGAUUCUCACGCCAGUCCCCUUUCACCACCACCUCCAUGCUCUUUUCUCAUCUCUGCCUAGCGCCUCUGAAUCCAAAACUCAGAGCUGGCUCCUGGGACCAGGCCAAACAAGUCUGUGAAACUGCAGGGCCACCAAGCCCUCGCUCAGCUCAGCCCUUCAGGGAGCUGGGAGCCCUACCCUAAGAGCUGUCCUGUGUAUUGGGAGACUCUGACUUCUCUGGCCUGGCCUUGUCCCUCUCUAAGAGCCCUCAGGCUUUUCCAGCUUCCAGACCUGCAGCUCCUCUCUGGCUGGACUCAGGCUUUGAUCAGACCUGGGUGGAUCCUGAGCCUCAACAGCAGCCACAGCCAAGAGUUGCCUGGAUUGAUCUCAAUGCCUGCCCCUCCCAGGCCUAACCUGGGUUGUCCCACACAGAUCCCCAGGAGUUGGACCACGGUGCCCCUGGGAACUGCAGGGAAGCACAGAGGACCCCACUCAGGGGCCCAUCCUGUCCACUGGCUCCUCUGGGUUCACAUACCAGGCACUGUGGCUGUCCUCAGAACUGACUUCCCUGUGGCCAGAGAGCUGCCUUUCCCGCUAUGUGCUGCAACUACCUACAGUUCCUCCCGCCUCUAGGCCCACAGAGGUCGUUCUUUUCCCUGCUCUGAGCAGGAGUUAUGUCCGCCAAAAGAUAGAAGUUGAAGUUCUGGAAUUUUCCAAGCCUGUGGAAACUAUUUACACUCUUAACCCAUCCAGGAAGAGUGAGGCAGAAAUGAGUGUGUGUGUGAGUAUGAGAGGAGAGGUCUGGGCCUACAUUGGAGAGGUUCUUUUUUUUUUUUUUUUUUUUUUUUUUACGGGAAUUUAACCAAUUCUUUACCUGUGAGUUCUUUAAAAAUGGUCACUGUAGCCAGGAAGAUAUUAGUCCCAAAGUACCAGGCCCACAGAACAAAACCCUUUAUGGACUUAUAGGUGUCUGCUUCCCAGUUUGCAGCCUUGUCUCUUGAGAACCUUCCUCCAAGACCGACAGGGUGUUAGGCAAGAGUCCAAUCGCUCAGAACCAGCACUUAGCGAGGGUGACUGGAUGGAUGUAAAUGAGAGAGGAUUCUCUCCCGCUGCUCCCUUCCUGUCCCCUACCCCAGGUCUUCUUCAGGUAAAGUUGUUGUGUACUUGGUGGCAUGGGGGCUGGGGGUGGGGGCUGAAAGGAGGGGGGGGAGGCUCUGCCCUCAGCAUCCCUGAAGCAAAUACAUCCUUUCCCAAGGACAAGUUACUCUCCAAGUUUUAGUUUCCUCAUCUGAGAAGUGGGAAGGCUCAUCCCUUCUGCACACAUUGGAGCGCUGGCGCGGCUUCUGGCACACACAGGGACCACCCUUCAAUGUCAUUAUCAUAUGUCUUUGAAGGAACCCGAACUGCCUGGGUCACAGGUUCGGGGUUCAUGGCGGCUGCUCAGCACCUGUGGACGCUGAGAGCUGGGAGGUGAGCCUCCUCGGGCAGAGCCGCGCCUCUCGGGCCCGGGGCUGCGGACCCCACCGGUCUCCGUGGCGCAGAGCCAGACCCUCGGGUGCGCAGAGGGGAGCCGGCCAGGCCGAGAGGUUGGACCGCCCGGUCGGAUCAAGGCUAGGGGUGAGGGGUGCGGGGCGCGCACGGGAGGACUCGGCCUCUCCCGGCUCGUGUCCGAAGCCCGCCGGGCGGCGGUGGCCGAGGAGCCUGCGGGGCUUAGAGCUGCCCCGGGGCCUGGUGCGUCCUCCGCGCUCCGAGCGCUCGCCCGCCUGGCCCCGCCCGCCGCGCGCCGGCGCUCGAUUAAUAAUCAUAAACCUUCCGCUCACCCUCCUCUUAAAAUUAAUAACUCUGUAAUUAGAGUCAUUUCGGAAGCCUCCUGAGCCGCCGAGGCCGGCCGGGUCGCCGGCCGCCCUGCGCCGUGGGCAGGAGGGAGGAGGAGGCCGGGCGCGGCGGCCGCGGCAUCUGCAGGUACAGAAUGAGAAUUAAAAUCGCUCUCAACAAUCCAAUACACUUUUUAUCAGCCAUCUAUCUGAGAGCCGGGCCCAUUCAUCAUCCGAGGCAUUCUCCCUGAAAACAAGACCCAUUCAGAUUUUAUACAAAUUAUCAUAUUUAUCAUCGUCUCCAACUCCGGAGUAACAUCUCCGCAAAGUGUCUGCCGUCUCCCCGGGGAGCCGCGCGGCUCGGAGCGCCCGAGCGCCCGCCUGGCAAUUCCCCCCGCCGGCCCCCCCCCCCCGCCUCUCCUUCCCCAACCGCCCUCCCCCCCACCACCCCCCCAUCCCCGGCCCCGGACGUGGUCCCCGACUCUGGCCUUUGAUCCGCUGCCUCCACUUGCUCCCACCGCUCUCUCUUUUCUCCCCCCUCCCCAUUAAUCUCUCUUUCUCUCCUGUCUCUCCCACUCUCUUCCCUCUUCUCAGCUCUCCCUCUGGCCUCUGAUCCACUGGGUCUCUUUCCCUCCCCACUAGCUUGCUCCCACUGGCUCUCACUUUCCCUCUUCACCCCCAACCCCUCACCUGGUCUCCAGUGCCCCAUCAGGUCUCUCCUCUUUUUCGUCUCUUUCUCUCUGUCUGUCUCUUUGGGCCUUUGCUUUCUCCCCAGCCAGCAUCCCCAUCCCAGAAGCAAGACGGGCAGUUCCUAACAGAACAGCUUGAGCCUCCCCUCCCUGGCCGAGGAGGGCUUCCCCAGAUCGAUUCAGGGGCCAACUCUGGCCCAUAUCCAGGAAGUCUAAGGAAAUGAAGCAGGGCCACCACUAGUCUGCUACACACACACACACACACACACACUCACAGCCCUACACCACAUGUACCCCACACAGCCCCCAACACACACAACCCUCAAUACACUCCCCAACACUGACCCCAACCACACUCAUGUAGCCAAUCUCUCCAUACACAUAUUUCCCCUCAUACUGCACACAGUCCCCCAAUGCAUACACAUACCCCCCAAUACGUAUCCCCAAUACAUACACAUACCCCAAUACAUACACAUACACCCCAAUGCAUACAGAUGCACAGAAGUUUCAGGGGCACACAUCUUUCAAACACACAGGUGUGCAGAUAUGCAGUGCCCUCUCAUGCCCUCUUACCCAGAUUCUCAGCCCCCUCAUCUCUCUCCUCUCUCUCUCAGCAUGUACACACGCUUGAGGCAGGAACAGGUCGUCACAGCCCCUGGGACAACUUCUGCCUUGGUAGAGGAGUUCCCCUGUCACCAGCAAGAUCUCAGGUGUUCCAUCUAGCUACUGGAAGAGCCCCACUUGCUCUGCCCUGACCCCCAGGGGUCAGUGAGGUUUCCCUAGUUCUGAUUCACAGACACUGGGAUAUUUUAAAAGAGGCCUUUAUUCAGAUUCUAAGGAGGGAGACCUCACAACAAGUGACAGCAGCAAUGUUCAGAACACAGGUUUCUGACUCCAACAACCAUCUGUGGGUGACUGUUUUCUUUCUAGGCCUCCACCCUGGGGGGACCCUGCUGGGCUUCCUGGAGGCAGCCAGCCUCCAGCGUUAUAUUGAGUUCCCUCUGACCUAGCCCAUCCUCAGUCUCCCAUCAAAAGCCUGCCUCAGUUGGUCACUGUGGGGGAGCCUGUGGUUGUGUGUCCCAUGGGCGGUUGGUUGGUUGAUUCAUUCAUUCCUCAGUCACUAAUUCAACAACCACAGCUGCGUGCCUCCUCUGUGUCAGCUCUGCGCGUGGCAUGGGGAUUCCAGUGGCGGACGAGAGAUACUCAGUCCUGCCUCCAUGUAGGUUCAGUCUAGAGCAGUGCUAUCCCAUAGAACUAUCUGUGAUCGUGCGAAGGUUUUAUAUCUGCGCUGUUCAAUCUGGCGACCACUAGCCACAUGUGGCAAUUGAGCACUCAGAGAGUGGCAGAUGUGACAGAGGAACUGAUUUUUUCUUUUAUUUAUUUAAAGUUAAAUUUAAUCAAAUUUGAUUUAAUUAUUCUGCUUACUUGUAGCGGAUGGCUACUGUAUUGACCAGCACGGGUCUCUUGGUGGGUUAGUCUUCAUCUCAUUAAAUGGGGCAGGAUGUGUGGGAGGGAAUCCCUUCCUCCUUCCAGAGUGUGGGAAGCCUGUAAGUGUCAGCAGGGGGGUCUCUGAGCAUAGCUCCUCUUCCUGUGUGGACGGCCAGGACCACUACAUUUUAUAAGAACCUGUGCCCCUAAAACAGGCCCAUUCCAAAGACUGUAGAUGAGUGAUCCCCCUCUUUAUGAAAGAGUAACACUAGCACUCCUUGGCUACUAGACAAAACACUAUUUACAUCCAAUGUCUCCUAAGUCUUACUUGGGGUUCUUAAAUACAAAUGCUGGUGAGGGCAGAAAUGGUUGGAAAGACCAAUAGGGGUGGGGGUUCUGGGGCAGCUGGAGAGGGCAAGGCCCCUCUAAUGGAUGUGACUGUCAUGCAGAAGUGGGGGCCGGUGAUGCCAAUGGUCUGAUUUUUUUAAGAAUACCCGUGAGUCUUAGUUUUUAUUUGAAAUUCAUUGAAAACUAUCAAAAAUUUAAAAUUUAAUGUUUAUUUAUUUUUGAGAGAGAGAGAGAGACAGAGCGUGAGCAGGGGAGGAGCAGGGAGAGGGAGACACAGAAUCUGAAGCAGGCUCCAGGCUCCGAGCUGUCCGCACAGAGCCCAACGCAGGGGUUGAACUCACAGACCGCAAGAUCAGGACCUGAGCUGAAGUUGGAUGCUUAACUGACUGAGCCACCCAGGUGCCUAUGAAAACUAUCAAAAAUUGAAAAAACAAAGCAAACUCACAAAACCUAAGCAGGCAGAUGGUGUAUAAGGCAAAUGACCAAUGUGUAAAGAUAGUCAGUCAUUGCAGGUUUGUUUGCAGAUUAGAAGUUACCUAAAUGUUCACUAUUAGAAGCUUAGUUAAAUGACUUACAACACAUCUAUUCAAUGGAAUAUUAGACAGCCUUGACCAAGAAUGAAGUGAAUCUUUAUAUAUAAAGAUAUGGAAAGAUCUCCAAGGGGAAGUGAGUGAAAAAGUUAGGCAUGGAACAAUGCAUAAGGGACCAUUUAUUGAGAGAAGAAGAGACACACACAUACACGUACGCACACAUUUGUACCUGUACGGACAAGUCCUAAAAAGAUAUACAAAAAAUUGGAAAUAGUAGUUGCCUCAAGGAACCGGGCAGGGAUGAUACAAAGACUUUUUCCCUAGAUGCUGUUCAGUAUAUUUUGGCUUUUGCAGUAACUGCAUCAAUUACCUAUUUACAGGAUAGGCAGAGCAAACCAAGCUGAAGGCCAGCUAUGGCUUUUGGGCCACAUGUUUAUUAAUUCUGUUCCUCAUGGUGUGUCCCUUGGAGGUCGUUACUACCCCAUUAUAUAGAUGAGGAAGCUGAGACAGAGAGGUUAAUUAAGCUGCCCAGAGUUACAUUGGCCAGGAAGUGAUAGAGCUGGGAUCUUUACCUGGGUAUUCUAACUCCAGAGUGCAGGACUUAAACAUCUCAAUGCACACAGAGAACUCUGAAUCCUAUGUUUGCACCCGUGGUGGACUCAUGCCAAGAAUGCUCUAUCACACCUCUCUGGGGCCUGCUCAAGUGGCCCCUAUAAUCCAGACACAUCUGCAAAGACCUCCUGUGUCCUCUUCCGUGGUGAAAAGGAAUGGACAUCUAACUGCCAGCAAUGGUCCUUCAGAUCCUUGUGAUUCACCUUCCCUACUUAUGUCCUUGCCCAAGAGCAACCAACUAGAGUUGUUUCUUUUCUUCAAGUAGAUGUGAGUCUGGCUCCAGGGCCCCGGGCGUCGACGGUACCAAGAGAUUGUAGAGCAUGUUCUCUUUUGAGUCUCUCUUUUUUAAAAUUUAUUUAUUUAUUUGAGAGAGAGAGAGAGAGAGAGAGAGAGAGAGAGAGAGAGAGAGAAUGCACAAGAGGGGAUGGGGCAGAGAGAAGGAGAGACAGAAUCCAAAGCAAGCUCCACACUGUCAGCACAGAGCCCGAUGUGGGGCUCGAACUCACGAACUGUGAGAUCAUGACCUGAGCCAAGGUCAGAGUCAGACGCUUAACCAACUGUGCCACCCAGGUGCCCCUCUUUUGAAUCUCUCAAUGCCCAGUGAGGAAGGCAGGAAAGGAUUACUAUUACUAUUCCCUUUUUGUGGAUGAGGAAACGGAUGCUCAUACAUGACACCUACUUGUAUGAAUUAAAAAUAUAUUGUGGUGCAAAUUAA